rnacentral:rRNA from 1 species
UACGUAGGUGGCAAGCGUUAUCCGGAUUUAUUGGGCGUAAAGGGAACGCAGGCGGUCUUUUAAGUCUGAUGUGAAAGCCUUCGGCUUAACCGGAGUAGUGCAUUGGAAACUGGGACUUGAGUGCAGAAGAGGAGAGUGGAACUCCAUGUGUAGCGGUGAAAUGCGUAGAUAUAUGGAAGAACACCAGUGGCGAAAGCGGCUCUCUGGUCUGUAACUGACGCUGAGGUUCGAAAGCGUGGGUAGCAAACAGG